rnacentral:rRNA from 1 species
AGGACGAACGCUGGCGGCGUGCCUAACACAUGCAAGUCGAACGCGCUCCAUUCGGUAGCAAUACCGAUGAAGAGUGAGUGGCGAACGGGUGAGUAGCACGUGAGCAACCUGCCCCGAAGACUGGGACAACACCGGGAAACCGGUGCUAAUACCGGAUAUCCCUAUCGGACCGCAUGAUCUGAUAAGGAAAUGGAUUCCGCUUCGGGAAGGGCUCGCGGCCUAUCAGCUAGUUGGUGAGGUAAUAGCUCACCAAGGCAUCGACGGGUAGCUGGUCUGAGAGGACGAUCAGCCACACUGGGACUGAGACACGGCCCAGACUCCUACGGGAGGCAGCAGUGGGGAAUCUUGCGCAAUGGGCGAAAGCCUGACGCAGCAACGCCGCGUGGAGGACGAAGGCUUUCUGAGUUGUAAACUCCUUUCAGCAGGGACGAUUGUGACGGUACCUGCAGAAGAAGCACCGGCCAACUACGUGCCAGCAGCCGCGGUGAUACGUAGGGUGCAAGCGUUGUCCGGAUUUAUUGGGCGUAAAGAGCUCGUAGGCGGUUUGAUUAGUCGGGUGUGAAACCUCCAGGCUUAACCUGGAGCCGCCACUCGAUACUGUCAUGACUAGAAUUCGGUAGGGGACCACGGAAUUCCUGGUGUAGCGGUGAAAUGCGCAGAUAUCAGGAGGAACACCAGCAGCGAAGGCGGUGGUCUGGGCCGACAUUGACGCUGAGGAGCGAAAGCUAGGGGAGCAAACGGGAUUAGAUACCCCGGUAGUCCUAGCCGUAAACGAUGGACACUAGGUGUAGGUGGUAUCGACUCCAUCUGUGCCGCAGUUAACACAAUAAGUGUCCCGCCUGGGGAGUACGGCCGCAAGGUUAAA